rnacentral:rRNA from 1 species
CCAGACUCCUACGGGAGGCAGCAGUGGGGAAUAUUGCACAAUGGGGGAAACCCUGAUGCAGCAACGCCGCGUGAGUGAAGAAGUAUUUCGGUAUGUAAAGCUCUAUCAGCAGGGAAGAAGAUGACGGUACCUGAUUAAGAAGCCCCGGCUAACUACGUGCCAGCAGCCGCGGUAAUACGUAGGGGGCAAGCGUUAUCCGGAUUUACUGGGUGUAAAGGGAGCGUAGACGGCAGCGCAAGUCUGAAGUGAAAUCCCAUGGCUUAACCAUGGAACUGCUUUGGAAACUGUGCAGCUGGAGUGCAGGAGAGGUAAGCGGAAUUCCUAGUGUAGCGGUGAAAUGCGUAGAUAUCGGGAGGAACACCAGUGGCGAAGGCGGUUUACUGGACCACAACUGACGCUGAGACACGAAAGCGUGGGGAGCAAACAGGAUUAGAUACCCCAGUAA